rnacentral:tRNA from 1 species
GCGCCCGUAGCUCAGUGGAUAGAGCGUCAGCCUCCGGAGCUGAAAGUCGCAGGUUCGACCCCUGCCGGGCGUACCA